rnacentral:rRNA from 1 species
UACGUAGGGGCCGAGCGUUGUCCGGAGUUAUUGGGCGUAAAGCGCGCGCAGGCGGUUUCUUAAGUCUGAUGUGAAAGCCCACGGCUCAACCGUGGAGGGUCAUUGGAAACUGGGGAACUUGAGUGCAGAAGAGAAAAGCGGAAUUCCACGUGUAGCGGUGAAAUGCGUAGAGAUGUGGAGGAACACCAGUGGCGAAGGCGGCUUUUUGGUCUGUAACUGACGCUGAGGCGCGAAAGCGUGGGGAGCAAACAGG